AUACGUAGGGGGCGAGCGUUGUCCGGAAUGAUUGGGCGUAAAGGGCGCGUAGGCGGCCCGGUAAGUCUGGAGUGAAAGUCCUGUUUUCAAGAUGGGAAUUGCUUUGGAUACUGAUGGGCUUGAGUGCAGGAGAGGUUAUCGGAAUUCCCGGUGUAGCGGUGAAAUGCGUAGAGAUCGGGAGGAACACCAGUGGCGAAGGCGGGUAACUGGACUGCAACUGACGCUGAGGCGCGAAAGUGUGGGGAGCAAACAGGAUUAGAUACCCUGGUAGUCCCCACUGUAAACGAGGAAUGCUAGGUGUAAGAGGUAUCGACCCCUUUUGUGCCGGAGUCAACACAAUAAGCAUUCCGCCUGGGGAGUACGGCCGCAAGGUUGAAACUCAAAGGAAUUGGCGGGG
rnacentral:rRNA from 1 species